AAGAUAUAUUGUUGAAGAAGGACCUUGGUGGUAUUCUACUUGUGUCUGUGGCAAAGCUAUUCAACCCCAAGGUGGUGUUUAUUAUUGUGAUUUUUGUGUCCAUCAUGUGACUAAUGUUACUCCUAGGUGAUUUGUGGAGAUACACACCCUAUUAUGUUCAAAGAUUUUAUUGGAAAGAAAGUUCUUCUAAAGGUUGAUACUAAACCUGUUGGUGUUGAUAAAUACUUUGGUACCUUUCGAGUGAGGAGGGUCUACGAUGAUGUGGUUAUAAUUGCUAUGUUUGAGUUGCCCAACUAUGAUGCUGAUGAUGAAGCCACUCCCCAUAAGGGGAAAUAGGUCACCAAGUGUGAUUCUGUUGUUAGAGAGUGUUCCAUUGUUAAAGGUGCUUCAUCUGUUGCUGUGCCAAA